rnacentral:rRNA from 1 species
GCGUUACUCGGAAUUACUGGGCGUAAAGCGUGCGUAGGUGGUGAGUUAAGUCUGUCGUGAAAGCCCCGGGCUCAACCUGGGAAUGGCGAUGGAUACUGGCUCGCUAGAGUGCGGUAGAGGAGAGUGGAAUUCCCGGUGUAGCAGUGAAAUGCGUAGAGAUCGGGAGGAACAUCAGUUGCGAAGGCGGCUCUCUGGACCAGCACUGACACUGAGGCACGAAAGCGUGGGGAGCAAACAGG